rnacentral:rRNA from 1 species
CCUACGGGAGGCAGCAGUAGGGAAUUUUGCGCAAUGGGCGAAAGCCUGACGCAGCAACACCGCGUGAAUGUUAAGCCCUUCGGGGUGUUAAGUUCUGUCAAUAGGGGCGGAUUUUGACUGUACCUAUAAAGGAAGCACCGGCUAACUCCGUGCCAGCAGCCGCGGUAAUACGGGGGGUGCAAGCGUUGUCCGGAAUCAUUGGGCGUAAAGCGUUCGUAGGCGGCAAGGUAAGUCUGAUGUUAAAGCCCGGGGCUCAACCUCGGUUCGGCAUUUGAUACUAUCUAGCUAGAAUGUGGUAGAGGGAAAGAGAAUUCCUGGUGGAGCGGUGAAAUGCGUAGAUAUGAGGAGGAACACCGGUGGCGAAAGCGCUUUACUGGAAAAGUAUUGACGCUGAGGAACGAAAGCCAGGGGAGCAAAUGGGAUUAGAUACCCGAGUAGUC